GGCAAGAUGGGUCACCAGCAGCUCUACUGGAGUCACCCACGGAAGUUCGGCCAGGGUUCCCGCUCUUGCCGCGUCUGCUCCAACCGCCACGGUCUGAUCCGCAAAUACGGGCUGAACAUGUGCCGCCAGUGCUUCCGGCAGUACGCGAAGGACAUAGGCUUCAUUAAGUUGGACUAAGCGACCUUGAAUGGAUUCGACUGACUACUACCAAGUGGAACCGAUCAUGCUAGUCUUUGUACACAAAGAAUAAAAAUGUGAAGAACUUU
rnacentral:lncRNA from 1 species